CCUCGAUUUUCCAUCCUCUUGAUCUUGGUCGAGCUACACCCUAGUGGUCGAAGUGAGUUCAUCGUGCAAGCUCUCUGGCUUCCACUUGAUCUUGCCUGACUGCGUCUGUAGCCAUGUGUACUAUCCCCUAGUACCAGGACAGACCAACUGUCGCACAAGCUCUCGAGUCCUACCCCUACCCUAGAUAAGGAAACUUGACCAGCUCCACCCGUCGUAGGUCGAAACCGAGUCUGUCGUGCAAGUUUCCUAGCCUUGAGAUCCAUUCUCACCACCCAG
rnacentral:lncRNA from 1 species